rnacentral:lncRNA from 1 species
UCGUGGUUUCGCUGAUUCCUGGGUGCGGGUCUCCUACGAAAGUACCUCUUCUGAGGUCUUUCAUUUGGGGGCUCGGUCCGGGAUUGAGACCCGCCCAGGGACCACCGACCCACGUCUGGGAGGUAAGCGUUGUGCGGAUCCGCUGUCUUGUCUCGUCUUGUGUCUUGUCUGUCUGAAUCCGUCUUAUGAACUGCGCCUGCGUUUGCAGUACCCAGCUGAGUACAUUUCGUAUUUGGCGGCUCGGAGGAGGAACUCCCGGCCGCGGCUCCAGGAGACGUCCUGGCAGCGUUAGAGCCUCAGUGAGCUUAUUUGUUUUCUGGCUAGGGUAGAUGCCUUAGCGCUUGGAGCUUCAGUGGGCUCAUUUGUUUUCUGGAGUUUUACUUUCGACUCUCUGUCGAAACUGCGCUGCGAAAGCCUGUUCUGUGUUGUUCGGUCUUUGUUUUGUAGUUGAUGUGCAUAAAGGCAAAUGGAUUACUCUUUGUUCCUCAGAAUGGCCAGCCUUUGACGUGGGCUGGCCGCGGGAUGAUACCUUUAACCCCCAAACUAUAUUUCAGGUAAAAGACACCCCAAGGGCCCCCCCUUCCUUUCCCCCUCUAACCGCCCGCCGCCGCCCCCGCCAGAGGCAGAAGCGGCCGCCGCCGCCUAGGCGGAGGCGGCCCCUGCAGGUCCCCUUAACCUCGGAGGAGAAACAGCUGCCCAAUGAAAUUGAUGCAGCUUGCCCUCUUAAAAGACCUGAAUGGGAUUUUACCACUGAAGCAGUUUAUAAUGUCAGACAGACUGCCAGAUCCUGACAAUGACCCGAAGAUUACAGGCACCUCAGUUCCUGCACCUGGACCAAUGAGCAGAUGCUCAGAUAUGAAACCUGCCGCCUGCCAGAACCUGGCCGAGACUGUGGACAAAGCUGCUGGACACUGGAAAAUUGAUUGUACCCCUUUGCCUAGACAAAACAAGGUCAGUCUUUUCCAUGUCCCUCUUCCACAGAGAGAAAAUAAAACCUCUCACAAUAUAGGCCUGGCGAAGAUUGCUGUUCUUUGAGACAGCUGCCUCCAACGGUGAUGGAGAAACUUGGGUUUGGCUAACUGUAUAUGGACUUGCUUCUAACUGGCUUCUGUCACUUUUUAGUAGAUUCGGAUAAAAUAUACCCUUCUCAGAUCUCUGAAAUAUUACUGGUUGUCAGCUUGACAGCAUCAGACAGUCAGAUCCACUAUAGACUAGUCAGUAUGUUAGCUGAUAAAAUAAUGACUAUCUACUGUUCAGGCACAAGCUCAAGGUUUUUAAGUUUAUUUUGGUUGUCAUCUAAGUACAAACUUAAAGGGCUUUUCAUCAGGCCAAAGGCACCUCUGUCCAAUCCAUACCUGGCUCUCUGGACAGAAGAAAAAUGUACAUGCUUAUAGCCCA